AGUGAACGCUGGCGGUAGGCCUAACACAUGCAAGUCGAACGGCAGCACAGUAAGAGCUUGCCCUUACGGGUGGCGAGUGGCGGACGGGUGAGGAAUACAUCGGAAUCUACUUUUUCGUGGGGGAUAACGAAGGGAAACUUACGCUAAUACCGCAUACGACCUACGGGUGAAAGCAGGGGAUCUUCGGAGCUUGUGCGAUUGAAUGAGCCGAUGUCGGAUUGGCUAGUUGGCGGGGUAAAGGCCCACCAAGGCGACGAUCCGUAGCUGGACUGAGAGGAUGAUCAGCCACACUGGAACUGAGACACGGUCCAGGCUCCUACGGGAGGCAGCAGUGGGGAAUAUUGGACAGUGGGCGCAAGCCUGAUCCAGCCAUACCGCGUGGGUGAAGAAGGCCUUCGGGUUGUAAAGCCCUUUUGUUGGGAAAGAAAAGCAGCAGGUUGAUACCCCGCUGGUCUGACGGUACCCAAAGAAUAAGCACCGGCUAACUUCGUG
rnacentral:rRNA from 1 species